rnacentral:rRNA from 1 species
AUUGAACGCUGGCGGCAUGCCUUACACAUGCAAGUCGAACGGUAACAGGUUAAGCUGACGAGUGGCGAACGGGUGAGUAAUGUAUCGGAACGUGCCCAGUCGUGGGGGAUAACUGCUCGAAAGAGCAGCUGAUACCGCAUACGACCUGAGGGUGAAAGCGGGGGAUCGCAAGACCUCGCUCGAUUGGAGCGGCCGAUAUCAGAUUAGGUAGUUGGUGAGGUAAAGGCUCACCAAGCCGACGAUCUGUAGCUGGUCUGAGAGGACGACCAGCCACACUGGGACUGAGACACGGCCCAGACUCCUACGGGAGGCAGCAGUGGGGAAUUUUGGACAAUGGGCGCAAGCCUGAUCCAGCCAUGCCGCGUGCGGGAAGAAGGCCUUCGGGUUGUAAACCGCUUUUGUCAGGGAAGAAAAGGUUCUGGCUAAUACCUGGGACUCAUGACGGUACCUGAAGAAUAAGCACCGGCUAACUACGUG